CCAACGUGGAUACCCGGGAAGUCACUCUCCGCGGGCUCUGUCCAGGUGGCAUAGAAGAGCACAGGGCUCUGCCCUGUGAUGUACAGUCCCUAUACACAACGUUGGAGAGAAAGCAGGGCCUCGAGUCUGCUCCUGAACAUUUCUACAGCUCCUCAGGGUCCUCUGGACAAUAACUGAGGAAACAAACCAUGCAGGGAACAUCU